GUGGGGAAUAUUGGACAAUGGGCGCAAGCCUGAUCCAGCAAUGCCGCGUGGGUGAAGAAGGCCUUAGGGUUGUAAAGCUCUUUCAGUGGGGACGAUAAUGACGGUACCCACAGAAGAAGCCCCGGCUAACUUCGUGCCAGCAGCCGCGGUAAUACGAAGGGGGCUAGCGUUGUUCGGAUUUACUGGGCGUAAAGCGCACGUAGGCGGAUCGUUAAGUCGGGGGUGAAAUCCUGGAGCUCAACUCCAGAACUGCCUUCGAUACUGGCGAUCUUGAGUCCGGAAGAGGUGAGUGGAACUCCUAGUGUAGAGGUGGAAUUCGUAGAUAUUAGGAAGAACACCAGUGGCGAAGGCGGCUCACUGGUCCGGUACUGACGCUGAGGUGCGAAAGCGUGGGGAGCAAACAGGAUUAGAAACCCGAGUAGUCC
rnacentral:rRNA from 1 species